CGCCGCUCUGUCGGGAGAUGGACAGGUGCGAACAUGUGUGAGUUUCAACGGGAAGUGUGCUGCUGAUUUUGUGUGUGUGUGUGUGUUUGUGUGUGUGUGUGUGCUUCUGUGUCUGUGGGACUCUGCAUUAUUCUGAGAUGUAUAGAGAUUCGGGAGAUUACGUUUCUCAGUGGUUUAAACAAUUAUUGUGCGUUGGCUGAUUUCCUGUGGGGGUUGGUGGUGAUUUUAUAAAACCCAGACAGAAUUAAGCUGUGUGUAACUGUGCCUCUGUUUGUGUGUAUUCAUACAUAUGAUGUGUCAUAGGGAACAUGUAUGUCGUACGUGUACGUCAUGUAUGCACACAUAUGAUUAAUUCAGCCACUCCUCCCACUCCCCCCCAUCCCCUUACAGUUGCUUGUAUUAGUAUUCAGGUGUACACUGAAGGUGCAUGGCAGUGUAAACCUGAGUGAAUGACAGUGUUAUUGUUAGCGGUGUGCCUGGGUUACCCGUUUGUGACUGCGCUUGGAACACGCGUACAAUGGGGGGGAAAAAAGCAUUCCGAGCCUGGGAGUUUUUGUUUACCGAACGUCCGCCCGCGAGCGGUCUCCGUGCCUUGAACUUUGACCCCUGCCUUCUCAUCAGCAGCACUUCUGAUUUCACUGAUAAAAAGAGGGGGAGGCAGGGGGUGACCUUGUUGUGGUAUUGCUUUACAGAGACCCACACACACACACACAAACACACAGACACACAGACACUCACACACACACACACACACACAGACACACACUCACACACACACACACACACACACAGACACUCACACACACACACACACACACACACCAUCGGUAAUUGGCUCCGGGCAGCGGCUCCGAGGCUGGCUUGCGCGGGCCGCGUUUGACUCAUCUCCGUUUACAUUGUUCCAGGACACCGCCCACCAGCUAGCUUCUCAGCAUCACUGUUUAUGAAAAGGGCUGGCGGCAGCUAGCGCGUCAGAGCGGGAGAGCGCGAGUGCGAGUGCGUGUUUGUGUUCGCGGACGUCACGCUGCUUUUUCAGCGAACAUGGGCAGAAAUGGUGCUAUUGCGAGUCCGGCUACGGGGCAUGUUCAUACUGUACAGAAAGCAGGGCUCCUUCUCUUCACGUAGAUUAAGGGUGGCAUGCUAGCCCGAGGAACUGACUGCUGUGUGAAUAAUAUUAAAUAUAGCACAUAUACUGUAUGACAGGGCGUGUCCUACAUACAGGCAGUGUUUGACUGCGUGUCUUUUCUACGUUGGGCCCGUUUUACGUGCGUUUUGCAUUGAUUCAAAUCAUUCGUAGAUUAAAGCAAAAAUGGUAUGAUUUGAUUAGAGUGCGUUCCCUACGUUCACAACUGUGUUUAAUGUUAAUGGCUCUUAUGUCUUUGUCUUUUUCUCACUCUUGUUUUUUAGUUCAUUUUCAGACACUGUUAGGAGAGCACACCUGGACUCUGUCCUACAUUGGGUGUGUAUAUAUAGCUCCAGCAGCACUUCCUGCAGCCCUCAUUCUGUCACUCCACCCCUGUCUGCGCAGUCACCCUGCGCAGCUGCUGCCACGCCGGGGGCGGGGGGGUUGUGAGGAGGGGGGCAGUAUGACGUUCAGCCUCAUUGCUGCCUGUCCUGAGUGUGCGUGUCUGUUCCUGUUAUCAGACCACCAUCUUGCUUCCUGUGUCCUGAGAAGCUGCACGACAGGGCCUUCCCGGCUUGAGUGGCAGGGCUCUCUGUCUUGUGAACACUGGGAACCUUGGACCGGAGGCAGUCGUGAUGUCAUAACGGAUGAUUGAGCUGAUUGGCUAAGUGAAGGACGACCAAUGAGGAACUGCAAGCUAAGAAAGCAGAAUGCCUCUGCAAAGAAAGACUGUGAGAGUUGGCACCAAUUCUUACCAAAGAUUUCAAGAAUAUUGGCGCACGGAAACAAAUUGGGACUGCGGCACUGCCAUGGCUUGGUUAUCUUAUCUGAGAAGAGAACGUAUCUGGUUCAUACCACAGAUAUUUUGAUGAUCUGUUAAGGCUGGAACCUGGGUGUGAAGGACUGUGGGUAGGUGCUGGGAACCUACGUAAUAGAACUCCUAUAUAGAACAGUACUGUGUAUACAUACAUCAUUACUGCAGUACAUGGAUAGCAUAUGUCGUAUAAAUUAUGUAACGAGAGUAAAUAAAAAGAUACAGAUGUUCGCUUAUAAA